UAUCUACCAUCACAUCAGAUAAAUAAUUAUUCAUUUUCAUAAAAUUGCUUUUUCAAAAUAUUCCCUUCAACCAUGUACAUAACAAAAUAUGGUCAUCUUAGCUUACUAUAUACUAGAUUAUUCUUAAAUAAUAUGUUCUUCGGUCACUAUUAACAUGGUAAUCCGGAUACUUUUUCCCUUAAACAACGCCUCUACUCUGGUUACUCCCCGCCACGGCUUCUUGCCUCAUUG
rnacentral:lncRNA from 1 species